GACGAACGCUGGCGGCGUGCUUAACACAUGCAAGUCGAACGGAAAGGCCCUGCUUUUGUGGGGUGCUCGAGUGGCGAACGGGUGAGUAACACGUGAGUAACCUGCCCUUGACUUUGGGAUAACUUCAGGAAACUGGGGCUAAUACCGGAUAGGAGCUCCUGCUGCAUGGUGGGGGUUGGAAAGUUUCGGCGGUUGGGGAUGGACUCGCGGCUUAUCAGCUUGUUGGUGGGGUAGUGGCUUACCAAGGCUUUGACGGGUAGCCGGCCUGAGAGGGUGACCGGCCACAUUGGGACUGAGAUGCGGCCCAGACUCCUACGGGAGGCAGCAGUGGGGAAUAUUGCACAAUGGGCGGAAGCCUUAUGCAGCAACGCCGCGUGCGGGAUGACGGCCUUCGGGUUGUAAACCGCUUUCGCCUGUGACGAAGCGUGAGUGACGGUAAUGGGUAAAGAAGCACCGGCUAACUACGUG
rnacentral:rRNA from 1 species